rnacentral:lncRNA from 1 species
UGUGUGUUGUGUGUGUGUCAGAUGCGGGCUGUGUGGCGACUGCUAACAACAGUGUUGAGUGGCUGCAGAAGAACUUUGGCCCGUUCUCUCAGUUCGUGUCUCUCACAGAUCUGAUCUCCAUCAACAGACUCUUUGAUCCCUUGGAGACCCUGGACAAUCUCACUCCCAAGCAGGUGGCUGGACUGUUGGUUGAAGAGCUACCUGGUCUCCCAGAGAAGAAAGUCGUCAUCAAUACAGUGUUUGAUCAUCUGUUUGUGUCUCCUGUGGAGCGAGGACUUCCUGAUGUUCUUCAAAACCUGCUCUCAAUCUCACAGAUGACCAUUAUUCCGUGCAGCUCCUACAUACUGAUGUAAGUGUACUUGGUACAUGAUAUUGAGUCUCUGGCCUCUUUGCACUGAGAUCUGCUGUAAUUCUGUGGUUCUUUCUCAGAUUCCAGAGGCUGUUUCAGGCGUUACCUUUCCUGCCGACGGAGAUGGAGACUGUGGUCUUCCAAACAACUGGAGAACUCAAGCAGAAUGGAGCAAGAGACUGUUCACUUCCUGAACCGCCAACAGUACCUGAACCUCCAACAUGUCUGUUCACUCCUGUGAAUGCUACCAGAGUUUGUUCAGGAGUCAACAGUAACGAGACUCUCCUAUCCGCUGCAUCCGUGAGCGCCCCCUGUAGUGUGGACCUGCAGCAAUACAUUUGCUCUUCGCUCACCGGCAUCACUGCUGGAAACCUGGCUGAACUCCUGAAGUGUCAACUUUCAAGCAGCAGAACUUACUCCAAGGAGAUCUGGAAACUAUUUUUCACCAAAGCAAAUGAUGUUCUGGACGGAGCCCUCGUCAUAUUCUCCAGCGCAGCAGCAAAUAUGUCUCAGCCAAUCAGAGGUGAUGUCGUGUCCCAAGUGCUGGAUGUGGUUGGAGAGCUGAGACUGGAGCGCAUCAGUCCUGACCAAUGGACAGACCUCUCUUUCAUCAGCAUGUUGUUGGGUCAAUAUCUGAAGCCGUUUUUACCAUUUGCGUCACCAUCCCUACUGCUGUGCACCAGCAGCAAAAACCUCAGCUGCCAAACUUACCAGCACAUUCUGUCAGAGGUCCCACUCGUCAAUGAGAUUCAAGGAAGAGACAUGGCAAACUUCUUCAUUCUGCCCUUCCUGAGAAGAAACGCAACAGAUGCGGGCUGUGUGGCGACUGCUAACAACAGUGUUGAGUGGCUGCAGAAGAACUUUGGCCCGUUCUCUCAGUUCGUGUCUCUCACAGAUCUGAUCUCCAUCAACAGACUCUUUGAUCCCCUCGAGACCCUGUCUAAUCUCACUCCAGAGCAGAUGGUUGGACUGAUUGUUAAUACUCAGCCUGGUGUGCCACAGAAUUUCAUCAUUAAUACUGUUUUUGAUCAUCUGCUCGUGUCUCCUGUGCAACGAGGAUUUCCAGAUGUUCUUGAGCUCCUUUAUAUUUUCUCCACAAGGAAUCCACUCAGCUGUCAAACCAACCAGAUAAUCUUCACGAGGCUGGAGCAGAUCUUGAGCUCAGGAGCGGGUGAUCUGGAGCCUGUCAUCUGGAAGAGCCUUUAUAACUUCAGCAGCACGGCUCCUGCAGACUGCACUCUUCUUCCAGUCGUGAAUGAGUGUCCCGUGACUCCAUUCAACGAGACUCGGGUGUGCAGCGGAGUGGACAGUUCUGCAGCACAGCAGUGCUUGAACGAAGGACGGAUUUGUGGCUUCAGUAUUGCAGCACAUGCAUGUGCCCCGGUGCUGGAUGUGAACAUGGACUAUCUGGUCACACUACUGAACGCUCAUCUGUCUGUGGAUGACAUGAGCUCAGCUGAGAGCUGGAAACUCUUCCUGACCAGAGUCUCAAACCUGCUGGACGUCGCCCUCCUCCAGCUCUCCAACCAGUCGGUGUGGUGGAGCAGCAGCUCUGCCUCUGUGGCUCUGGACGUCCUGCGGGAGCUGCGUCUGGACAGACUGACGGAUGAGAGCGCUGUAGUGCUGUGGCUCGAUGAACACCUGCGAGCGUUCCUGCCCAGUGCGUCUGGGACGUUCCUGCAGUGUCUGCGCAGCCAGAACCUCAGCUGCCAGAGCUUCCAGACAGUGUAA